GAUAAACGCUGGCGGCGUGCUUAACACAUGCAAGUCGAACGAAGUUUUUCCUUCGGGAGAAACUUAGUGGCGGACGGGUGCGUAACGCGUGGGUAACCUGCCCUGUACAGGGGGACAACAGCUGGAAACGGCUGCUAAUACCGCAUAAGCCCUUAGCACUGCAUGGUGCAUAGGGAAAAGGAGCAAUCCGGUACAGGAUGGACCCGCGUCUGAUUAGCCAGUUGGCAGGGUAACGGCCUACCAAAGCGACGAUCAGUAGCCGAUCUGAGAGGAUGUACGGCCACAUUGGGACUGAGACACGGCCCAGACUCCUACGGGAGGCAGCAGUGGGGAAUAUUGCACAAUGGAGGAAACUCUGAUGCGGCGACGCCGCGUGAGUGAAGAAGUAUUUCGGUAUGUAAAGCUCUAUCAGCAGGGAAGAAAAUGACGGUACCUGACUAAGAAGCACCGGCUAAAUACGUG
rnacentral:rRNA from 1 species